GAGUUAGUAUCUUAAUAGGUAGAGAACUUUUUUGUCAAGAAAGUAGAUGUCGGAUCGAAGCCGAUCUAACUCG
rnacentral:tRNA from 1 species